CAAUCCCUCACUGCAAUUAUGAAGUUUGAAGGGGCUUCUCCUAUGCCACAAGGUCAAGAAAGGGGAGAAGAAACUUCACAUGUUGUUCAUUUAGGAUCAUCUUGCAAAUUAAAAUGGUUACCUUGGAUGGGUACAAGGAGGAAAAUAUGUAUACCAAUUGAAUCUGUGAUGGGUAUGGAUUUUCAUACUAGGAUACUUGUCAG